UAGUCCACGCCGUAAACGAUGGAUACUAGCUGUUCGGACUUCGGUCUGAGUGGCCCAGCGAAAGUGAUAAGUAUCCCACCUGGGGAGUACGUUCGCAAGAAUGAAACUCAAAGGAAUUGACGGGGGCCCGCACAAGCGGUGGAGCAUGUGGUUUAAUUCGAUGAUACGCGAGGAACCUUACCAGGGCUUAAAUGUAUAGUGACAGGGAUAGAGAUAUCUUUUUCUUCGGACACUUUACAAGGUGCUGCAUGGUUGUCGUCAGCUCGUGCCGUGAGGUGUCAGGUUAAGUCCUAUAACGAGCGCAACCCCUGUUGUUAGUUGCCAGCACAUUAUGGUGGGAACUCUAACAAGACUGCCGGUGCAAACCGUGAGGAAGGUGGGGAUGACGUCAAAUCAUCACGGGCCCUUACGUCCUGGGGCUACACACGUGCUACAAUGGGUAGGUACAGAGAGUAGCCAACCCGCGAGGGGGAGCCAAUCCCAGAAAGCCUGUCCCAGUUCGGGAUUGAAGUCUGC
rnacentral:rRNA from 1 species